AUGCGAUCUAACAGACUAACAGGACAAGCAGUAGUUUUGAAAGGAAAUCUGGCAAGGAAAAUCCAGCAAACAAGGGAUAGGCAUAAGGCAAGUCUUUCCAGUAAGUGGUCGCAAGCGAAUGACCUAGGAAGAAGCCCGUUUACAAAGAAGUUCACAUGCCCUGCAACGGAUCUCAAACAAAGCGUGGCUGACAGCGCCAAGAAAGUAUGGCUUACACUUCCUUAG